GCCGAUGUGGCGGAAUCGGCAGACGCCACGGACUUAAAAUCCGUUGGGAGCAAUCCCGUACCGGUUCAAGUCCGGUCAUCGGCACCA
rnacentral:tRNA from 1 species